UGAUGGCUUAUUGCAAGCUACCAGCAUGGAGUGUCUGAACCCCAUGCAAUAUCUGAACCUAGGUGAAAUAUCUGAACAUGAAUGUAUAUCCCAACAUACUAUACAACUGUCCUCACUCCAUAGCUGGUUCUACACAUGAAGUAGGUGCGAGUUAGAUCCUAGUGCUUUUAGUUCAGUUCCAACAUUCCUACCUGCCUGUGUAGCUCAACGAGUAUCCAUUUCCUUGUCUUUAAAAUGAAGGUGGCAGCAGGACCUGCCUCAAGGGACAGAGUUUGGUGAGACAACCAUUUUCAGUGGACUAUAUUAAGUGACUGACUCCCGCUUUACCUUCACCCAUUAUUGAGCUGUCAAGGGGCGGGGCACCUAAUGCUGCUCCAGAGUGGGCCUGGAUGUGUCUGUACUUCCCACAGUGACCCACCAAUGAGUGAAGGAUUUAGAAAUCCAAGUCAGUCACCAACCACCCACCAUUCCCCAAGCUGUUCAGGAAAGAUCAGACAUCCCAUUUGAAGGGGCAUUUGGUAGGAAAUUCUAGAAAAGGAUCCCUAGUUAAUAAGAUAGAACCACACAAGAAGAUGGCUUUUCCUUUCCAGAUGCCUCUCCAGAGAGAGAUGGGCUGAGGGUGACCAGAGUCAAGUGGCCACUGGGCCUCCAGGCUGGCACAGGAGGAAGGCGUAGCCACUCAUGAUCAACAGCUGGAGCCAUGGGGUCAACGCACACCAAGAUUUCACUUACUGCAGGUCCCAGUGUUUUGUGCUCACCUAUUUCAGCACAGCUUAAACCAUUAAGACAGACCAAGACACCAAGCCAUCAUUUCCCCAAAGUCUUUAUCUCUCUGGGGACCAGGCCCGUGAUAUCUGGGCCUGCAUUUGGAUCGUCCCAUUGCUGAGAAGUGGCCUUUCUGUCCAGAUGCAGUACAUGAGGAGCAACAGUUCUGGGCUUUUAUACCUUUGAGUGGAAGUGUGUUCUUCUUCAUAAAAUUUUCAGAGAUAUAAAGGAAAGUGGAAAAAACUGACUUGAAGAGCGUUCAAGUGCCAUCCUUGCACACUGGGGGACAGAAAUCCUUCCAAAGCCAGUGCACAGCAUUGGCUUGGGAAAUCAGUAAUUGCAGAGUCAUCCGGUGUGAAAUGAUUUCAGACCAGGGCAAUAAAUGAAACUACCUGACCUUCUCGAUGAUCACACCAUCCACCUUACAAGACGUGAGUGCUGCUGCCAACUUCCCAAAACAUUAAGUGUAAUCAAUGUACUAGAAAGAAUAACACCUUAAAGAUUCAUGAUUCCUGGGUUUUGCUUUCA